ensembl:lncRNA
CAUUGAGCUACCACUGCUUCAUGAAAAUUUGAAAUACUGUCUGUGCAGGUGCAUUUCCAGUGUGCAUAAUCUAACACAUUCGCAUUGUUGUACACAACAGGAAACAGUCUCGUUAACAUUUCAUACAGUCCUCUGCCACUUUAUUAGGAACACUUGUACACCUGCUCAUCUGUGCAGUUGACCAAUUAGCCAACCCCAUGGCUUCAGGUAAAGAAACUGGGCGGUUAAAGAUUAAAAGUAGAAGCGACAGCUUGUUGAAUCUUAUCGAAUGUCCAACCGAGUGUCCGGUUUUAGCGAGCAAGUGCUGACUGUAGCCUCAGAUUCCUGCAGCCAGGAGUGGAUCCCAGUGUGGUCUUCUGCCGUUCUAGCCUCCUCAGGGUCCGGCGCGUUGUACAUUCUGAGAUGCUUUUCCUGGUUGUAAAGAGUGGCGAUUUGAGUAAACACAGCGUUCUUGUCAGAUCAAACCAGUCUGGCCAUCGUCCUCUUAGCUCUCCUCGAGAAGCUGUCUUCUCCCACAGAACUCACUUAGAUGUGUUUAUUUGUUCGCUUUUAUGUAUUACAUGAAAAUCUCAGGAGAUCAGCAGGUUCUGAAAUACUCAAACCAGCCUUUCGGGCACUAGUAAGACAAAUGAAUGUUGUCCUCCUUAAGUUACUUUGGUAAGGUUAUUAGGCGAUGAAGGGUGUGGGCGCUCGCUUGUGUGGUGUUCAUCUUUUCUGUCCUUCACCUACUCUCACUCUCUCCUUGGUUGGUUUUCUUUUUUUUUCCUUUUCUUUCAACGGCCCUUCUCUCAUCCGCCCCGAUCCCCAAACAGCUCCUUAAAUAGUAAUUAUUUAUGAUUGAGGCUUUGAGGUAGAAAAACAUUGAGGUGGAUUGUUUGAACAGGCUUUUAGAAACUGCAUGACUUCUCAGUGUGGAUGAUGGGUUUCUUUAUAUUUAUAUAUAUAUAUAUAUCGUUGUUGUCAUUUUGCUUUGGUGACCAGAAGGUCGGGAACAUGAAUCCGAGGUCGGAACCUCGAGCAGGACCCUUAUUAAACCCGCUGCGUGCAUCUACUGACUCUGAGAAAUGAAUCAGAAUAAAAUGACUCAUCGAGUUGUAAAACAAAGGCCGCCUUUAGAUUUUUAUUGUUUCCAACCAACCACAUGCACGCAGACGGCCUCGGAGCUAGACCGAUUGUGGGAAGGGCAUAAACGCGGCUCGGUGAAGCGGGGCGUCUGGGUAAAGGUCCUUAAAGCUGGGAGUUACGGCGUGAAGGAGAAACGGGAAUUCUGUACGGAGUCCAUGAACUAAGGUUUUCCAUUUUCCGUUUACUUUAUAGUGCAUACUACAUAGUGCAGUGAGUAUCACUUUAUAAUCACAAGUUUAAAUGCAGUGCUCCCUCUUUCGUGCUCCCCAGACCUUCUCUUCUUUCUUCACAUCUUCCUGCCAUCUCGAACUCUCCUCCUCUGCCCCUCCCCGAGGCCUUGGAUUGGGCAGGUGGAAGCUAAAGCUGGAAUGCUGGGGAAUGCAGUCAGUCCCACUCAGCAUGCACGUGCAUGACCUACAGAUCACAUCCCACUACUCGCAUGGCAAGCUGAUAUAGAAGAAGCGUGAGAUGAGCUAAGACUGGGACAGGAAUAGAGAGCAAGAUGCUGAGUGUUCCGUGGACUGGGGAGUAUUCACACACACACACACACACCACUAGAGGUGAAGGCCAGCAUCUGUGCUGCUAAGGAGGGGCAGGUCAGAGGUCAAGCUGAGUGUUUACUUUGGGUUUUGCAGCUCCUGGCUGGUGUGUGAGCAGACCAAGCAGCGAUGAUUUCCAGUAAACACGGAACUGCUUGUCUGACAGGUUCAGCACGCGGUUAUCUGAUUUAACCUGCUGAAUUUCAUUCCUACAUUCGUAAUAAAAGGCACAGAGGCCAAAGAGGCCACUCCUUCUUCAUUGGGUUCUGAUGGUCAUAAAGGCCACUCCUUCUUCAUUAGGUUCUGAUGGGCCCAAAGGCCACUCCUUCUAUAUUGGGUUCUGAUGGUCAUAAAGGCCACUCCUUCUUCAACUGGAAUGACAUGCACAGGAUUACACUGUCUUCCUGUUUAGAAAUGACAAUCACCGAAGCCACACCUCUUUUAAUGAGUGGCACAGGGACGGAAAUAAGUUAUUAAUAAAAUAUGAGUAAUGAAAUGACUUUAGCAGUAGAUGCCGUCCCAGCUUCAGUCUGAUAUAAUCACUGUUGUCUGUCAUCCUGACACGACACCGAUUCAAACUGCUGAAUCGUUCCACCCUGUUUUCCUUUCUCCUCAUGCUGUUUACUCUUAGUAUUUUUGGGCAAGUGUCACUUUUCUCUGCAUCUAUAUAAACCCUUGAAUUUAGCGACUGACCACAUAGAAGCGAACAAACACCUUAAUUAUACACCUCCCUCAUGGAAUCCCUCCACCACACACAAAUCUCACACGCUGCUUCCUCACAUAUUAUUAUGUCUUCGCGGCAGCCACUUUCACUACCCGUUUUACACGGCAGUUUUCCAUGCACGCAAACACGCCGGCAAAUAAAUCUCACUUGUAAAGUGUCAGGUCAUAAAGAUCGGUCAAAAUAAACGAUCCCCUCGAGCAGUCUUGUUCCGUCUCUGUUUUUUUGUUUUUUUUAAAGCCUUAAUUGAAAUAGUAGCUGGGUGUGGGAGCGGCAGGCUUCGGGAUUUCUUCCUGCAACACUGAAGCCUCAGAAUCUUUGUUAUAAGUGACGUUGCAGCCUGAAAAUACACUGUGUUGUAAGUGUUAUAUAUGAUAAAUGUUAUAUGUGUGUGUGUGUGUGUGUGUGUGUAUGUAUGUGUAUAUAUAUAU